rnacentral:rRNA from 1 species
UACGGGGGGGGCAAGCGUUGUUCGGAAUUACUGGGCGUAAAGGGCUCGUAGGCGGCCAACUAAGUCAGACGUGAAAUCCCUCGGCUUAACCGGGGAACUGCAUCUGAUACUGGAUGGCUUGAGUUUGGGAGAGGGAUGCGGAAUUCCAGGUGUAGCGGUGAAAUGCGUAGAUAUCUGGAGGAACACCAAUGGCGAAGGCAGCUCGCUGGGACGUGACUGACGCUGAGACGCGAAAGCGUGGGGAGCAAACAGG